GGAUCAGGGCCACCGGCCGAUCGGAUUCCUGCCGUCCCUCGGCAGAGACAAAGGCAGGGGAGAGCGCGGCGCGCGCGGCGCAGCCCCCGGGACCGGCCUCAGGAAUGGCUGCUCCUGAACAAUCCUCAUGGGGUUCUUGCAUCAGAAGGGGCAAUACAACUGGAUAAUCCCUGAAAGGGUUGGAGGAAUGUAAGUCUCCUGAAUCCAUCCAAGUUGUCUUCAUGCACCUUUUGAAGGGGAUGAUGCCAGGACUCUCCCUUGGCUGAACAUGUGCAAAUUCUUCUUCCUCCCAUUCUCAUUGUUUCAGAGCUGCGAUGCCGCGCAGGAUCAUGAUCCACAUACUUGUGUGUGUGCUUCGUUCAGAGGAGUCCCCUUCAGGAAUCCAGUGCCACAAAACAACUAGCUGGGCUAACUGUUCUUUCCUAAUGGUAGUUUUAUUUUGGAGGAUUAAAGACGAUUAUCCCCCAUCUUGCCAGGUGGAGAUCCACGGUUUGUCCCUGUCAAUUUUCCCAAGUACGGAAAUUAACAGCAAAGUCCAAGACAGGGUGCAGAGGAAACAGCAGUGGCUGUUUUACUAGUCCUGUGAAUGACAGCACCAGGAGCAGCAGCAUGUAUAAAUUAUGCAGCAGCCAUUUGACUACCCACAAGCACUUGCUGGGGUGGGAGAGCCUAUAACAGAAUCCCAUCUUAACGGCACGUUGCUUGUUAAGACUUGCAUUGUUCCCCUAUAUAGACCUAGAUUCAGCAAGAUACCUAACUUGAAGCAGGUGAGUAGCCCCAUGGGGCAAUUCAUGUGUUCAAAGUUAGG